UUAAGAUUACAGAGCAAUUACACGCUUCUCCACAGAUCACAGAUUGGAACGGGAGGUAACGUCAACUUGACCUACUUUAUUCAGUUAGAGGUGCUCUGGAUCAAAAGAGGCCACAGGAGGGUCUGCCUUUCAAAUGGAAAUCCUGCGCUGAUGCAUUCGCAGCACAAAGGAGUCUGUUUCUUAUCUCUGGAGGAAAGUCGGAUCUUCUCUGUGAAGCCAGCUUCAGAGAGAGACAGAGGGGGCAGCUGAAUUUUGGCUUCAGCUCCACACGGCUACAGGAAAUAUGUUUUCUGCUGUCGGGCUCUGCGGAGCCAUGAAGCCGUUUAUGGGACGGAUGAUGGAGUGGAGGCUCGGCUCGUGAUGAAGUUCCAUCAGAGCCGCGGAGUGUAAUAAAGAGGAA